CGCUGGCGGUGUGCCUAAGACAUGCAAGUCGAACGGAAUUUGUUGUUUACACAAAGGUGAGUCGUACAGUGGACUCCUUUGUGUAAAUAAUAAGUUUAGUGGCAAACGGGUGAGUAACGAGUACGAACGUACUCUUAAGCGGAGGAUAGCCCACCGAAAGGUGGAGUAAUACUCCAUGUGGUCGCAAGACCAAAGACGCAAGUCACUUAAGAAGCGGCGUACUUACUACCAGCUAGUUGGUGAGGUAACGGCUCACCAAGGCUAUGACGGUUACCGGCUCUUAGCGGAGAGUCCGGCACAAUGGGACUGAGACACGGCCCAUACUUCUACGGAAGGCAGCAGUUAGGAAUUUUGCGCAAUGGACGAAAGUCUGACGCAGCGACACCGCGUGUGGGAUGAAGGCUCUAGGGUCGUAAACCACUUUUAUUUCAUCAUGAAGAUAGAAUGAAUAAGGAACUACUAACUACGUGCCAGCAGUCGCGGUAAUACGUAGGUUCCAAGCGUUACCCGGAUUUAUUGGGCGUAAAGCGUCUGUAGGCUGCUUUAUAAGUCUUGUUUCAAAUACUCCGACUCAAUCGGAGAAAGGGGCAAGAUACUGUAUCGCUAGAGUCAUAUCGGAGUUACUGGAAUUUUCAGUGUAGGAGUAAAAUCCGUGGAUACUGAAAAGAACACCAAGCGCGAAGGCGGGUAACUAGGUAUGUACUGACGCUCAGAGACGAAAGCUAGGGUAGCCAAUCAGAUUAGAGACCUGAGUAGUCCUAGCCGUAAACAUUGUUCGUUAAUUCUUCGGGAUUUAUCCUGGGGGAUGUAAGCUAACGCGUUAAACGAACCGCC
rnacentral:rRNA from 1 species